CCCUUAGAUGUUCUGGGCCGCACGCGCGCUACACUGAUGCAGUCAACAAGUUUAUUUCCUGAGCCGAAAAGUUUGGGUAAUCUUUUGAAACUGCAUCGUGCUGGGGCUUGACGAUUGCAAUUAUUUGUCACAAACGAGGAAUUCCUAGUAAACGCAAGUCAUCAUCUUGCAUUGAUUACGUCCCUGCCCUUUGUACACACCGCCCGUCGCUCCUACCGAUUGAAUGUUCCGGUGAACACUUUGGAAUAGUUCUUAUGUGAGGGGAAACUCUUUGCUUGGAUACUGUGAAGUUGUGUAAACCUUAACAUUUAGAGGAAGGAGAAGUCGUAACA
rnacentral:rRNA from 1 species